CCGACCUUAGCUCAGUUGGUAGAGCGCAAGACUGUAACGGCUGACGAUCUUGAUGCCGCCUGUUCGAUCCAGGCAGGUCGGA